UCCACGGCUGGAUUUGGAGGAGGAGCCGGUCCCUGGCGAUUCCGGUGCCGGGAAAGGGCCACGUCCCACCAGCUGUAGAUGGCGGUGGCUGCCUGCAGGGCGAGGCAGCCCGCGGAACAGAAUCCCAGAGGGAACAGCGGAACACAGCUCAAAAAGCCACACUGCAGCCCCAAAACCCAGAAGACAGAUUGAAAUGGCAGAGUCCCAUCUGCUGGAAGAGGUGUCCCUCCUCUUCAGGGGAACGACCACCCCAGAAAGCCUCAUCCCCUCACUGGGGACAGCAGGGAGGUCAGUUCUCCUCACGGAGACAUGGCCUCGAGCCUUGGUGUUUUGCCCAGGAAUGGAGCAUCAGUGGUUAUUGAAGAUGAUAGAAUUGAUGAUGUGCUGCAAAACCUCUCCGAAAAGGCCCCUCCCGGUGUUUAAAGCCUCCCUGGGGACGCUGGGCUGAGGCUCGGGGUGGGGUCGGUUUACAAUGGCACAGGUGAUCGGCAGAGAAUAACCCCCAGCACCGCAGCGACCGCCCGCCGAGCGCCGCGAACGCCGCCCGCGCCCGCCUGCGGCCCCGCGGCUCCUCCUGCCCUCCGGAGACGCGGGAGGGGAGGGCGGCGAGCGAGCCAGAGCCCAGCCGUGAAUUCAAAAAUGAUAAUAAAUUAAAAUAUAUCUAUGUAAUCGGGAAAAUAGUGACCUGCUUCAAACUCCCCGCCCCGAGGGAUGGACGGAGGAGGCACGCUGCGGCUCUGAAUUACUCGGGAUCGCUUUUCUCGAGAUGAUGAACCUUGUGCCGCGCUAGAUCGGGGGGUAAGAGGAAAGGGGGCAGCGGGAGAUGGGGGGAGCGGGGGGAACAGCCCCUGGAGUCUCCCUCCGGCCAGGGUUGUUCCCAGCGGGCACCUUGUUUACAUGAUUUAAUCUUGCAAAAAUGAAUCCGUGCACUUGGAUGUACCACGCUAUCCCCUUCUGUAUGAGUUUCUUUUUUUUUAUGUUGAUGUCUUUGGAUGUUGGGAAAUUAUAUAAAAUAGAUAUAUAUAUAUAUAUUUAAUUUUAGUCGCGUUUUAAGGUUCUCGAGGGGGAAAACCAAAACUUUUAUAAAGGAAAGGCCUGAAGGAAGAAUUGCUGGUUUAUUUUUUAAAGCUUGUACUUCUUGGUUGCUGUGAGCAAAGGGACAGAUUUUAUAUGUAUGGGGGAGGGCGGGGGGGUUGCUCAGCUUUUCUAACUACCAUGCAAUCUGUAGUGUGGGUGAUCUUGGUUUUGUUUUCUUUUUUUCCUUAUAUUGUGGCAGUUUCCUCUCUUUAACAGACUGUAUUAAAACAUAUAUAUAAAAGAAAUUAUUUAAUGUAAUCACAAGAGUGCCAAACACUUGGAGAUGCUGGAGGGCAGCGAUUCCCUCCCUGAGACGAGAAGCACUUGGAGCUUUCUGCUCUUUCUAGGGCUCGGUCGAUCUCUCGUGGGGUUUUCUCUGACUUCUCUUUUCUAAUCUUUCUUUUUAACUAUUUUGCAUGAUGUGCAUAAAAACAAAAGGGGAAAAAAAAGAGGGGGGGGGACAAAAAGCGCCUCUGGCGCCCGGGCUUGAUUCUUGUUUCUGUUUGCGAUUGACUGACAGACCUCAAGGCAGGUUUUUCUUUCCUCCUUUUCUUAAAUAUUGUGUAUGUUGCACUUUUAUCCACUACACAGGGCUAUUUCUGCAAUGUCCGAAUAAAAAGGAAAAUGAAACAAAA